AAAAGUUAAUAUCCCUUCUAGUCUUUGUCCAGCAGGGAUUUUUUUCUAUCUGUAGAGAUUCCAGA